UAGCUCACUUGCUAGGCACCCUUGAGCAAGGUGCCUGUGUCUCAGGUACCUCUGUCCAUGCCGGCUGCUGUGGGCUGAACUGUGUCCCCCAAAUUCAUAUGUUGAAGUCCUAACCCCAGGGCCUUAGAAUGGGACCUUAUUUGGAUGUAGGAUCUUUUUUUCUUCUUCUUCUUUUUGAGACAGAGUCUCACUCUGUUGCACAGGCUGGAGUGCUAUGGCAGGAUCUUGGCUCACUGCAACCUCUGCCUCCUGGGUUCAAGCGAUUGUCCUACCUCAGCCUCCUGAAUAGCCGGGAUUACAGGUAGCCACCACCAUGCCUGGCUACUUUUUGUAUUUUUAGUAGAGAUAGGGUUUCACUAUGUUGGCCAGUCUGGUCUUGAACUCCUGACCUCAGGUGAUCUGCCCGCCUCAGCCUCCCAAAGUGCUGGGAUUACAGAGAUAAUUAAGUUCAAAUGAGGCCAUCAGGGUAGGCCCUAAUCUAAUACGACAAAGGUCCUUACAAGAAGAGGAGGUUAGG
rnacentral:lncRNA from 1 species